AAAAAGAAAAGCUAAUUAAGCUACUUGGUUCAUACCCUAUUUAUAGAAGUCAACCCCUCUUCUUUUUA
rnacentral:tRNA from 1 species